rnacentral:tRNA from 1 species
CUUUAGCUCAGUUGGUUAGAGCAUCUGACUGUUAAUCAGGGGGUCCUAGGUUCAAGUCCUA